rnacentral:snoRNA from 1 species
ACGGCUUGAUGGGGACAUUUUUUGAUGAGAUCCUUUAAUCUCUCCCAUGACUCAUGGAACUGCUCAUCAUCUUGUUGCGAAAAGCUAGUGAGAGCUCAUCUUAUCU